rnacentral:misc_RNA from 1 species
AGUCGUAACAAGGUAGCCGUACCGGAAGGUGCGGCUGGAUCACCUCCUUUCUAAGGAGCAUCUGGUCAGUGCUGGUCGCCCAUUGUGGGUGGUUGGUUGCUGGUCCAGGCGCCUGUUUCGGACCGAACGUGUCCGACGGGUAGCUCAUGGGUGGAACAUUGACAGUGCAGUUGGGAGUGAUGCUUCCGACCUCAGUACGCUCUGCUUGCAGGGUUGGGACGGGUCGGGGGUGGAGCGCUCAGCUGGUGCACGUUGUUGGGUCCUGAGGGACCAGGCUUCCUGCUGCUACGUGAGUGGUGGUGGGGGUUGGGCCUACGGGUCCUUCGUCGGGCCAGUGUGAUCCUGCUGUUGUGGUGGGGGAGUGCUGGUGCCGAUCGUAUGUUGAGAACUACACAGUGGACGCGAGCAUCUUUGAUUCGCGUCAUCCAUGAUCAGCCUUCGGUUGUUGAGUGGUGACGUUGGAUCGCAAUUUUAAAUCUUUUGUGGUCAAAGUUUCUAAGAACAAAACGGUGGGAUCCCUUGGGCAC